rnacentral:rRNA from 1 species
GACGAACGCUGGCGGCGUGCUUAACACAUGCAAGUCGAACGGUAAGGCCCUUCGGGGUACACGAGUGGCGAACGGGUGAGUAACACGUGGGUGAUCUGCCCUGCACUUCGGGAUAAGCCUGGGAAACUGGGUCUAAUACCGGAUAGGACUCCGGACUGCAUGGUCUGGGGUGGAAAGCUUUUGCGGUGUGGGAUGGGCCCGCGGCCUAUCAGCUUGUUGGUGUGGGUAAUGGCCCACCAAGGCGACGACGGGUAGCCGGCCUGAGAGGGUGACCGGCCACACUGGGACUGAGACACGGCCCAGACUCCUACGGGAGGCAGCAGUGGGGAAUAUUGGACAAUGGGCGAAAGCCUGAUCCAGCAACGCCGCGUGAGGGAUGACGGCCUUCGGGUUGUAAACCUCUUUCAGCAGGGACGAAGCGAGAGUGACGGUACCUGCAGAAGAAGGACCGGCCAACUACGUGCCAGCCGCCGCAGUAA